CAUGGACUAUACAUACUAUGGUUUUCAAAACUGAAAUAUACGAUGUACUACAUACAAGAAACUAAGAAGUUGGCCGACUAACCAUAGUAUUGACAAUUUUUCAGUUUUGACUUACUUGAAGAUAAUUCUGCCAGCUCAGAUGAAGCCAUACAAUAUUGGAGAGAAUUAUGUAACUUAAAGGAAUGCUGGAAAUUUGUACAAGAGACUGUAAAGAAAAUCAUAACACAGGACAAUAUAUCAAGAGACGCAUGGUACAAAUGUUUCGAUAUUUACGAUGAUCAGUCAAAGACUUUAUAAUUGAACAAAGUUACGUUACUCGAGGAACUGGUACUUCAACUAUUGAGUAUUAUUCAAACCGAAAAUACUGCAAAUCUGUUUUUUUUUUUUGACAAUAUUACAUAUUUAAAAGCAAAGCAUUUGUAUGGCCACAUUUCACCAGCACAGAUGGGGAUCAGAGAUAUGGGAUGUAUGGGAUGUAUGGAAGCGUAAUAUGAUUUCAUGAUUGAAAGACAGUCUGCCCAAAUUAUUAAUUGAUGAGAUUAACAAACUACGACGUAACAUAUCAAUAACCACAUCUUUAGAUAUCAUUGUUGCUGUUAUUAACACAUUUUCAGAAGUCCAGGCAU